rnacentral:lncRNA from 1 species
CUGGCUUCCUUCCGGAGCUUUGCAGGGGAAGGCGGCUUGGAUGGCUCCAUGCCUGGGAGCAUCUGGGGGGAUUUCCAGCUGGACACACCUUACCACCUGGGUAGGAGUGGCCAGAGCACUAAGGGGCUACACCCAGAACCAAGGGGACAGUGGCAGGAGCUCAGGAAGGCUCAUAGCAAGUUGGAAAGCCCUGCUCGAAUGGACCCAGCCUGUCGGCGUAGGCCGCCAUGUUUGUGAUGAUGGGAACCGUUGGGCAGCCUCACAGCACAUGCUGUUGGCACCCCUGCUGGUCUUAGCAGCAGGACAGCAGGGUUUACUUAGGUGACUAGGCAGUAGGUUUAUGCCACCUGGGCUCUGUGUCCCAGCCGACUCGGGGCCUCAGUGGCCUUUCUCCAGUCUGAUCCUUUCUUCCCAAGCUCACUCAGGGUCCUGUGUAAAGUUGCGCUGAUAUUCAAAAGAUGGGAGAAUCUACUUUUGUUCAUGCUGUGGGGGGGUAUUUAAAGCAAAGUUUAUUUAUCUUAACAUUUGUAAUUGAUAAACAAUGACUGUAUAUUUAUGCAGGCAUAAACUCUAAGGAGUAAGUGCUGCUGCACGCUCUGCAGCCUGCGAUUCCCACUCAGCAGGAGGGCAGAUUGGUCAUUAACAAGCACCUAAAGAAUGUGAGCGCACAAAUACACUGGCCAGCGCCCGGCCGAGGGCCAUGCUCUGACUCCCACUGCAGCAGCCAGGACUGACCUCCUGGCCAGUCACACAGGCGUGCAGUGUGCAAAGCCCUUGCCUCAGUCGUCCUCAUUCGUUCUUUUCCAGGAGGAGUGACGUGAGCUGGAGACCUCACUCGUGGCACGCCACCAAGCUCUCUGACGGCCACGCUGAGCCCGCGGCCUCUCUGCUCCCUGCCAGCAGUGGCUGCUCUUCCUGGCACGGCAGACACCACGCCAGUUCUUCCUCCCAAGACCUGUCUGGCUCGUGGGAGCCGACAAACCUACAGCGCACUUCGGACCACUUCAGCUCCCUGGGCAGCGUUGACAGCCUGGACCACCCCUCCCAGCCCUACCCCUCUGGACACCUCUCGGCAGCCAAGUCCAGCAGCAGCAUCGACCACCUGGGUGGCCCCAACCAGCGAGACUCGGCGUAUGGCUCGUUUUCCACCAGCUCAAGCACCCCAGACCACACCCUGCUGCCCAAGGCCGAGGCGUCCUCCGCGGAGAACAUCCUCUACAAAGUGGGGCUCUGGGCGGCUUCGCCUCAGAGCCUGGAAGAGAGGCCCUCCGCCUUCCCACCCAGGGCCCCCGGGGACAACAGGAAAAGCCCCAGGCCGGAGGAC